CCUACGGGGCGCAGCAGUAGGGAAUUUUCGUCAAUGGGCGCAAGCCUGAACGAGCGAUGCCGCGGGAGUGAAGAAGGCCUUCGGGUCGUAAAGCUCUGUUGCGGGGGAAAAAAGGCAGCAUCAGGAAAUGGGUGCUGACUGAUGGUGCCCCGCCAGAAAGUCACGGCUAACUACGUGCCAGCAGCCGCGGUAAUACGUAGGGGGCAAGCGUUAUCCGGAUUUACUGGGUGUAAAGGGAGCGUAGGCGGCUUGGCAAGUCAGUAGUGAAAUCCAUGGGCUUAACCCAUGAACUGCUAUUGAAACUG
rnacentral:rRNA from 1 species